CUGUUUCUUGGUAUAGGCACUCAAGAUCUCCUCAUAUUCAAACUUUCUUUUUUCAGCUUUUGCAGCAUAUUGUGCUUUCUCCUAAAAAAUUCAGCCAUGAAACGUUCAAUCACAAAAAAUACUAUUGUUGCAAACACAAGUUAUAACCACGAAAAGUAACUGCACAUACAGCUUCAGACAACUGCUUCCAUGAGACCAUAGGUUUGCUCACCUACAAAGCGCACACACCUAUCUUAGUAAAUCGUCCCUUAUAUCAUGUGAUUUAAGGACCACGGCAAAAAGUCAAACAUUAUUAUAUACUUACAAUAGACAGAGAUUUGGUGUCGUCAGGGUUUUCUUUCCUAUACUUCUCCCUUUAAAAAAUCACAAAAAAGUCAGAAUAACAAAAGUAUAAAAGAGUAUGUCAACAUCACCUGGUCAAAACUAUUUUCACCGAGUAGGCAUUAGGUCUAACAUGAUUCACAUGCAUCAUUUAUG
rnacentral:lncRNA from 1 species